GACGAACGCUGGCGGCGUGCUUAACACAUGCAAGUCGAACGGAAAGGCCCUGCUUUUGUGGGGUGCUCGAGUGGCGAACGGGUAAGUAACACGUGAGUAACCUGCCCUUGACUUUGGGAUAACUUCAGGAAACUGGGGCUAAUACCGGAUAGGAGCUCCUGCUGCAUGGUGGGGGUUGGAAAGUUUCGGCGGUUGGGGAUGGACUCGCGGCUUAUCAGCUUGUUGGUGGGGUAGUGGCUUACCAAGGCUUUGACGGGUAGCCGGCCUGAGAGGGUGACCGGCCGCAUUGGGACUGAGAUACGGCCCAGACUCCUACGGGAGGCAGCAGUGGGGAAUAUUGCACAAUGGGCGGAAGCCUGAUGCAGCAACGCCGCGUGCGGGAUGACGGCCUUCGGGUUGUAAACCGCUUUCGCCUGUGACGAAGCGUGAAUGACGGUAAUGGGUAAAGAAGCACCGGCUAACUACGUG
rnacentral:rRNA from 1 species